AUUCCAGCUCUGUAAGCGUAUAUCAAAGUUGUUGCAGUUAAAACGCUCGUAGUCGAACUUUGGCGCCCGGUGCGGGACAUCCUCGCGGAUGCUUUUGCGCUGGGCGCCUUUGUGGAGGGGGGCUUGGUGGUGCUUUAUUGCCUCGCCAAGUUCCUGCCACCGUUUACUGUGAAAAAAUUAAGGUGUUCAAAGCGGGCGUUUGCCAUGAAUACAUUAGCAUGGAAUAAUAGAAUAGGACCUGGUCCUGUUUUGUUGGUUUGUAAGUAUCAGGUAAUGAUUAAGAGGGACGGUCGGGGGCAUUUGUAUUCCGGCGCUAGAGGUGAAAUUCUUGGAUUGCCGGAAGACAAACAGCUGCGAAAGCGUCUGCCAAGGACGUUUUCAUCA
rnacentral:rRNA from 1 species